UACAGAGGUGGCAAGCGUUGUUCGGAAUUACUGGGCGUAAAGGGCGCGUAGGCGGUCCCGUCAGUCCCUUGUGAAAUCCCCCGGCUCAACUGGGGAACUGCAAGGGAUACAGCGGGGCUUGAGUUCGGGAGAGGGAAGCGGAAUUCCGGGUGUAGCGGUGAAAUGCGCAGAUAUCGGGAAGAACACCCGUGGCUAAGGCGGCUCUCUGGUCCGAAACUGACGCUGAGGUGCGAAAGCUAGGGUAGCAAACAGG
rnacentral:rRNA from 1 species